rnacentral:rRNA from 1 species
AAGUCGAACGGCAGCAUGCUCUAGCUUGCUAGAGUGAUGGCGAGUGGCGGACGGGUGAGUAACGCGUAGGAAUCUGCCCUAAUGUUGGGGACAACUCGGGGAAACUCGAGCUAAUACCGAAUAUGCUCCUUGGAGUAAAGCUGGCUUUCGGGCUGGCGCAUUAGGAUGAGCCUGCGUAGGAUUAGCUAGUUGGUGGGGUAAAAGCCCACCAAGGCGACGAUCCUUAGCUGUUCUGAGAGGAAGAUCCGCCACACUGGGACUGAGACACGGCCCAGACUCCUACGGGAGGCAGCAGUGGGGAAUAUUGGACAAUGGGGGCAACCCUGAUCCAGCAAUGCCGCGUGUGUGAAGAAGGCCUGCGGGUUGUAAAGCACUUUCGUUGGGGAGGAAAGCUAGUGGAGGAAUAUCCCAUUAGUGUGACGUUACCCAAAGAAGAAGCACCGGCUAACUCUGUGCCAGCAGCCGCGGUAAGACAGAGGGUGCAAGCGUUAAUCGGAAUAACUGGGCGUAAAGGGCACGUAGGUGGUUUGUUAAGUUUGGUGUGAAAGUCCAGGGCUCAACCUUGGAAAGCCAUCAGAAACUGGCAGGCUAGAGUACAGUAGAGGAUAGCGGAAUU